rfam:Glycine soja cultivar W05 scaffold3285_14, whole genome shotgun sequence.
UCGUUAAGUGAUGACGUGGUAGACGGAGUGCCGUGUCAUUAUGCCUUGUCACAGACACCUCAUUGCUACAUCAUCACCGCUAAUGAUAUGGCACUGACGUGUUAGUGAUUGGUGUGAUGACGUGACACUCUAUCUGCCACAUCAUCACCUAACGGAA